rnacentral:rRNA from 1 species
UACGUAGGGGGCAAGCGUUGUCCGGAAUCAUUGGGCGUAAAGCGCACGUAGGCGGCUCUUUAAGUCCGUUGUGAAAGCCCUGGGCUCAACCUGGGAACUGCAGUGGAUACUGGGCGACUAGAGUGUGGUAGAGGGUAGCGGAAUUUCUGGUGUAGCAGUGAAAUGCGUAGAGAUCAGGAGGAACAUCCAUGGCGAAGGCAGCUACCUGGACCAACACUGACACUGAGGCACGAAAGCGUGGGGAGCAAACAGG